AACUCGCCUGCAUGAAGCUGGAAUUGCUAGUAAUCGCGGAUCAGCAAGCCGCGGUGAAUACGUUCCCGGGCCUUGUACACACCGCCCGUCACACCAUGAGAGUCGGGAACACCCGAAGUCCGUAGUCUAACCGCAAGGGGGCGCGGCCGAAGGUGGGUCCGGUAAUUGGGGUGAAGUCGUAACAAGGUAUC
rnacentral:rRNA from 1 species